rnacentral:lncRNA from 1 species
ACACUUGCCCGGGCCAGGGCGGCAUGACUGGGGCCCUUUAUCCCGGCCCCGGGGCCGGGGCGGCUCAAGGCUCCAUUCACGGCCACCGCAGGCUCCCGCCCGGCCACGUUCCUCAUGCAGGCGUUUGGAAGCCCCGCGGCACCCGGUGGGUGAAGACAAGCUGUGUCGUUUGUGCCUUGGCGGCGGCCGCUCUCCAACCCCCAUGGCCCGGCCCCUCCCCAGCCCGGCCGCCCGUCCACAGCUCCAGACCCGGGGUCAACCACUUGUGCCAAGGAGCCUGAGAUCCCAGCCCAUGCCCAGCCAGUCAGAGCUGCCUGUCCCACCUCAGGACUGGUGACAGAUCCUCACUGGCUGUCCCCUCCCACCUGCCAGAAGCAGUGCCUGAAGUCCAGAGGACUCCAGGUGCCAGGCUCCCCCUGGGGAGGAGCACGGGGCUGGGCAGUCAGCCGGGGAGGAGCAAGCUGGUGGCUGGGACACACAACUCCCCAUGGUGUCGGGCUGGGGGCAGCAUGCCUGACCUGGCAAUGGCCCCGGUGACGGCUGGGGGUGGCCACGGCUGGGCUCAGGCCAGUCUUAUCUGUGGAGGCUCAGAGACCAGUGGCCACUUCCUGGGUCUCUGGCGGUGGCGGCUCCCACUAUGACUUCCCCAAGCCAGUCUGGUGCCAACACCCUGGGCUGAGAGUCCCCAGCCCCAUUGCAUGCUCCACAGCACAGGCCCCAAAGGCCACUGUCCAAGGCCACCCCCGGGUGCCCCUCGCCCCACACCUGGCCCCCUCGCGGGCUGGAGACUCGCUGCUUCUGACUCGGGUCCCGGGACAGGGCACCCACCUGGGUCCCAGUGCCCAGGGGCUGCCGCCCACAUGCUGAGCCCCUGACCCUGGAGUUUCAGGUCCCAGAUGGAAAGUGGGGAGGGUGCCUGUCUCCGGCUUCUGGAGAUCCCUGGGAGGGCACCCUCCUCCACGUGGGCCCGGGAACAGGAAGUGCUUGACGGGGCUCCCAGGUGGGGCCAGCACUGCUCUGUGGGUUUUUCCAGGGAGGGGCUCCUGGGAUCUGAAGUCCUCUAAGACCCCCCACCCCCAGCCCCCAGCAGGCAGGGACCCUGCCACGCUUCCCUCUGAGGUCUCCACAGGAGUGGGUGCGGGUCCUGUGGCUUUGCUGGAGGUAGGGCUGGGGCCUCCUGCAGCCCCAGGUCACUGGUCUAUGAUUGUCACCAUCGGGUGGUGGCUGGCCUGGAGAGUGUCUCCUCUCGCGGGUGGAGUCAGGGGCCUGGGUUUCAGGUUGGGGGCUUGGGGACUUCAGUGAGAAGACAGGCCAGGACCUGGCCAUGGACAAGGGGACAGCAGGAGAGAAGGGGGUGCUGCCCCCAGCUGGGACCCCAGAGCCCCCCACCUGGUUCCCAUCUCCUCUGCCUCCUCCCCUUUGCCAAGAGGCCUCACCACCAGCACCCCAAGUCCCCACAGGCUGGUGCCCCGCGAGGCCCCGGGCACUUCCUCCAGGAAGCCUUCUCCCACCCCUGCAGCUCAGCCACACCCAGCGGCCCCCAGCCAGAGGAGGGGCACCUGGGACCAGACAAGCCUGGGCUCGGGGCAGAGGUGCCUUCCUGCUUUCUGGGCGUGUGGGGAGGGGGUUCCCAGAAAUGCCGAGGAGGCCUGGCCGGCAGCCCGAGGGGAGAGCCCCUGGCGCUUCCUGCUUGGUGAGGAGGCAGGCCUCUGCCGCCUGAGCUCGGAGAAGUGGGAGAAGCGAGUCAACGACAACAACCAUCAUCGCCCGCCCUCCUCUUCCCAGGCCUAUGUGGAGGAGGGCGCCCUCCCCGGGAUCUCCAGAGGCCUGACCCCUGGCUGGUGGGCGGGGCAGGCGUCCUGUGCUGCCCCUGAGCCUGUGCCUGCACCGUGCCCAUCCGGCUGCCCGGCAGGACCCUGCCCGCUGUCCUGGGCUCCCGAAUCAGAGCCCCUCUGGGCUGAGGGGAGGUCACCGUUCCCCAGCUGAGUGGAUUACCUGGGGCGGGGCAGAAAGGCCCGUCGCCUGUGGGUUGGGGUCUGCCUUGCCCUACCCUGCCUGAGAGGGUGAAAUGAGCUCAUGUUCCUGGCAGAGGAGCCAGCACCUGGCGCAGAGGGAAAUGAGCUGUGCCGUGGGCACGUUGGGGCGGGGGAGAUCCAGCCUGAAUCCGCCCAGCUUGGGCUGCCCUCCGGCCAGGUGUGGCCUCCCAGGGGAACACUGUGGACCCUCUCGACAGCUGAGAGGUGGGGCAGGUCGGGCACUGACCAGGAUUCCCAGCCUCCUCUAGGAGAGGGCCCAGCCUGGCCAUGCUCCCUCCCACGCUGGGGCCCAGCUCAGGAGCCCCCACCUCCAGGAAGUCCCUCAAUGCUGAGGGCCCGCCUCCAUCCCCACCCAUGCUGGGUUGUCCAGAGUGCUGACCACACAGAGGCGAGUGAGCAGCAUGGCCUUGUCCCGGGGCCUGCACCUCAUCACCAGCAUUGGGGGUGACAAAGGCCCCUGAGCUCUGCGGGUGUGGACCUCAGGGAGGCCAAGCUCCUCCAGGCCACAGGUUCGGGCUGGGGAGGGGACACUCUCCUGGGAGCAGCUCCCUGCUUGGCAGGCGCACCUUAACCUGGAGAGCUGGGUGCACAGGCAGGAGCCUCCGGGCCUGGAUAGCCAGUGAGCCUGGCAGGGUGGUGGGGACACAGAUGGACGUCCCCAGCAGGGAUGGUGCGGGUGGAGGGAGGAGCGCCCGGCAGGUCCCUGCUGUCUGGGUCUGCUCUGGUGGUGGCUGCGGGUGAGCGCCUGUGGACUGGUGGCGUGGCACUGGGCUGCUCGGCCGUGUGUUUCUGAUUCCUCGAGGCCUCCCCAGCGCGGUGUGUGUGCAAGGUACCCCCACCCUGGGCCCACUCAGUGUCCCGGGCUGCCUGGCCUGGUGCAGGACCACCCACCAGGCGGCCCCUGUCCAUCUGGGGUGGGGGUUGUGGGUGAACCCUGGGGGUAAAGAGGCCACCUCCCUGGCCCAGAAGAGCCCCAGGGUUGCUGGGCCCGGGACAGAGAGGGCAUGGGGCCGCCUGCGGUCCUAGAGGGGGCACAGAGCCAGGCCCAGCCCGACCACUGGCCUCGAAGCGUGGAUGCAGCUCCCAUCUGCUCCCCGCGAGCUGGGCCAGUCCCGACGCAGCCCCACACCUGUGGGAGGGUAGGACCCUGCAGGCCAGCCCCGCCCGCCAAGCGCUUCUGCUCCUCUGGCCUUGAGCUUGUCAGGGGCCCCUGCGGACAGCAUGACAGAGCUGGGUGAGCCCCCAUCGUGGGGUGGGGGCAGGGGACCCUGAUGGGAGCAGCAGGACCCCUCUGAGGGGCAUCUGGAACCCACCCAAGAUGCUUACUCCCUCUCCUCCUCACCCUCCAGCCCCCCACGGCCUUGUCACCAACCGGCAUGUUCCAUGGGAGUGGGUGUGUGUGUGCCUGCACCUGUGUGUUUACUGGUUCCUUCACGCUGCUGCUCCCCACCCCGCCCCGGCCAGAAGAUUCUCACCACAGGCCUGUUGUGACUGUCCUGUCCUUGCCAUGCCCAGAGCCUGGAACAGUGCAGGGAACAGAGAUGGUGCUCAGUACACAUUUGACAUGUGAAUGAAUGAGUGUGUGUGGAGAAGCCUUCGAAUCUCAGGGUUCUACCUCUACCUUGACCGAUGGAGACACUGGGCUUCACUGUGGGCACAGGGGGGUCGGGGUGAGGGUCUACCCAGGGCCAACUGUAUGGCACCUGCCCCACCCCAGCCAGGACUGCCUGGCACCAAGCGGGGCUCCUGCUGUCAGGAUGCUCUAGGUGGGGUGUGGCCUCAGCCACCGGGCAUGCAGGGGGCAAGGGUGGGUCACCACACGCCCUGGGCAGAAGCCCUGGGCCUUCACACUCCACUCUGCCGCUGGGCCCCUGUGGGACGCUGGCAGCUUGGCCUCCCCAGCACUGCCCUGGACCCACCCCACUAGGCUGGGAAGGAACUCCCUCUGGGAACCCCUUGGGCUCAGAGCAGCCCCGGCUCUGCCCAUACAGGUGCGCCCCUGCAGACGCCCCCUUGGGAUGGUGUCCACACCGUGGCUCUGCCGGAACAGCCUCCCACAUCCCCAGUCUCUAAGUGUGGACGGACAUGGGGCCUUUGGACACCAAGUGGCCGGGCCACCACUUAUCAGCAGAGGCAGCCCCCAGCCCACACAGGAACCCUUUCUUUGAGGGUCCAGAGGCCCGGGGCCUGAGUGUCUCACUCACAAACAGCCCUCCUCUGCCCACUGUCCCUCAGAAGCAAACAUAAGUGCAUCCCCCCGCCCCCUCCUCUCUCUGCAGAGUGGGCCCCAGAGCUCCUGUGAGCUCAGCCAGGUGGGGCCGUCCGUGUCAGUGGGGUUUGGGGAGACGGGUGCGAAUGGACAUCGAGGGACAGAGGAGACACAGGGCAGGGGCCCCGCCCACCCUGAUGUCUGCAGGGGCUCUAAGCCCUCACCUCACCCCUGCUGGCCUGGAGGGAGGGGCCUGAGUGGAAGGGAGGCGGGGACUGGGGGCGGGGACCGUGGGGUGGGGGUUCCUGGAGCCUGCACAGUUGUUCCUUCAUUCAUUUGACACACUUGCAAACUGUGCAGCCUCAGCCUGGUGUUUGGAACCGGGCUGGGGCAGACGCGUUCGAGGGGCUGUUUCUUGGAGUCUGGUCCAUGCCUGCAGAAUUGCAGAGUUGGAGGACCCAGUGAGUACCACUGGUGGUUCAGGCUGUAGAGCGCCAUAUCCCCAGCCACCCAGUUACAGGGUGUGUUCCCAGAACCCAGCUGGGCAGGGUUGGGUAGGGAGGGAGGGAUUGGGCCUUGCCAGGGCCCCCCUGUCCUGCAGUCCCCCUAUCAGGCUAGGCCAGACCCUCAGCUAGCGAGGGUGCCUGGUGUGCUGCCUCCAGCCCUGCAUGGCCUGAAACCUCCCAGUCCCCAGCCCUGCCCUCCACAAACCUCCAGGGGUCUGCCUCCCUGGCGGUCCAUGCGGCUUCUUGGCACCCGUGCCCCGCCCCUUCAGGGUGUCACCCACCUGGUCCGGUCCCUGCAUGGCCCAUGGCGGCAAGCGACCCCUGGCGGCGGCUGGGGGUGUUGUUGCGCCCACCCGAGGUCAGUACUGCAGUGCUGCUCACCAGGCCAAGGGGCAGACUCGCAGAGCCUUGGAAGCAGGUCCUGGGACUGCAACCCCCAGGCUCAGACACUACUGGGGCCAGGUGACUGCGGCCAGAUCUCGGCCUGGGUCCCUCCCUAUGUGGGGAGCCCCACUCUUCACUGAUGGGAGAAAACGGCUUUUCUGGACGGCGUGAUCUGGGCACAGCAGCAGCACCGACCCCUGGAAACAGGUUACAGCGUCAACCCUUGGUCUUGCCUGGCCCCUCAGGAGGCCCUGGCCCUCUGGCUGGUGCUGGGGUCCUAGGUGCCAUGGCUGAACCCAGUGACCAGCAUCUCUCAGCUCGGUACCCAGGUUCCCGGGAUGCCCCAGCUGGGCCAAGCCUCUGCCUGACCAGAAGGGCUCCUGGAACUGCCUUGGGUUCCAGUGUGCCUGUCUGAGUUUGAGAUCCGCAGGACGGGACUGCUGGAGAUGGGGUUAGGGUCGGGGAGGAAGCCCUGCCGUGUGGAGACAGAACUUCCUCAGGGAAGCCUGUUUUGCUCUGAAGUCUCCACGCCCCCAAGGACGAGGACGACAGGAGCUGAGCAGCUGCACCUGCAGGGGGCCUCCCUCCACACCCACACCCAGGAAGGGGCAGGCAUUAGCUGUGGGUACCACGCCGUCUGCUGGAGAGCACCCAGGCUUGGUGUCUGGGGACCUGCAGAUCCUCGAGGCUGUCUGGGGCAUCAGCCGUGAGCCAGUAGCUCCCGUUUUCCUUUUGGAAAAAGCCCCUUCACACAAGUUCCCAGCUCACCCCCUCUGGAGGUUCAGGACAGCCCUGGCUCUCCACCCUGAGAUGCCGGGCCUGAACCUGGUGCCCUCACGGCUGGGCCCCCUCCUGCCACACCUGCAGCCUCUGCUGGCACCAAGUGCUGCUGGAAAGUGGGAUGCACCUGGGACCACUGACAGCCCAGCCCGUCUCCCUCUGGAGCUGAGCCCUGUGCUUUGGGGACAGGCAGGGGAGGCCAGCAGGAGCCACAUGGUUACCCAGACACGCCUGCUCCUCACAGGCUGCUGCCCCCUCUGGGGGCACCUUCCGCUCAGUGACUGAGAAGCCCUAACUGAGGGGUUCCUGGGUCCCCGAGUGGCCUCUGCUUGGGAAGGCUCAGCCUACCUGCCUUCUUCCUGCAGUGCCCCCAGCGGCCUCACAGCCCAGCCAUCCUCACUCCUCUGUCGCAGCCCUGUAUCCCAGAAGCACCCUCAGCACUGCAGCCUCUCCCUGAGCCCCUACCCAGCAUGCAGCCCCUGAUGUCCUGCGGAGGUCACGCCUCCCUUAAACCCACAGCACUGUGUUUCUCUGCUGUGGAAAAUUCCCAACAGCGUCUGUCCGGGAGGCGGCAUCCGGAAGCUCUCACGUGUGCACAGGUCAAGCCUCCCGCCACAGCGGCGUCUCUCCCUCUGGCUCUGGGGGCUGCCGUCCACACACUGGUUCCCAACUCAGCCUCUGCUUCCCUCAUCUGACCUGUACCCUUUGAAUUGUUAAUGUUGUUAACUGUGUACCUGUUAGAAAUUUCCAUUUGGUUCUUUUCUAGUUUCUGUUUUUUUUUUUUAGACGGAGACUCACUCUGUCACUCAGGCUGGAGUGAAGUGGCAUGAUCUCGGCUC